GUGCGUUACCCCUUGCCCGUGACCCAGGCUGCAUUAAAGAGGCAACAAAAGCAGAAUACUUUAAGGGAAGCCAUAACUUCUGACCUCACAGUUUUCUUCUGAAGAUGUGAUUUGGGACCUUCACAGUCCUAGCCUCACAGAAGCUAUUCCCCAUUGCUACUGCUAUUCUUCUCAAAGGAGAGGGUGACCACCCACAGGAAGAUAAGCCUAAUCCAUUUCUUGCCUUGUCAGAAUGGACAGAGAAGAACUCAGUCUUGAAGAUGACGCUGGGUCAUCAGAAACUACACUAGUGGAGUACUAGUUUUGGCAGAUCCCAAUAAGCUGGACAGUCUUGGAUUACAGGCCCCAGGAAGACUUCUGUAUCUGUCCCCUGAGGAUCACAGGUUGUGCUUUUAAACAACACUUUCAGUACCUAAAAGCAGCUGAAAUAUGCAUCUGUCUGCCAAAACCUCAACUCUACAGCCAACACAAAGCCACCUCCACAAAGGAGCAAGGCAGAUCACCUAACCUCUCUGAGCCUCACUUUCUUCAUCUGCUAAAAUGGAGACGAUGAUAUUUGAAGUCCCUACGUAACAGACUGUCAGAUUUCACAUUAUAAAUAAAGUACCUUACAAACAUUAAA